CCCAACACUUACAUAAGGAGAUGGCACAUGGGUAUAUUCUCCUAAAAACCAAUGAGGAUAUGGGAGAGGUGGGACUUGCAGCGCGUCAAGCGUCACAGAUAGAACCAAGUUCUAAUUUAGUGCCUGGCUACGCAGUGGGUCGUUGACGCACGUGUGCAGUGUGGGUGCAAAUAUUGAAUAACAUGUAUGUGUACAUUUAUUUUGUAACAUGCUGACCACAUUGCUCAUGUCAUGUUACAUGUUAUUCAAUCAUUGCUCCCAUACUGCUCUCGCGCUUCAACGAGUGUCUGCGUAGCAUGGUUCUAUUUGUGACACUUGACAUGCUGCAAGUCCUGCCUCUCCCAUCUCCUCAUUGGUUUUUAGGAGCAUAUAUCCAUCCACAUGUCGGAUUGAAAGAUGAACUGAGGUCCUCACUCCAAUCCAGUUGGGAGUGGUAAUGCGCCUUAAAGUUGGUUGCCAAGUGCCAUAUAAAUGUCGAAAGAAUAAGAAGAAGCCUAAAGGAGGAGAGAUUACUAGAAACAUACUCGGUUGACCCUUUUAUCUAUGGAUUAAUUGUCGGAGUAGAGGACCUUGUGCAUUUCAGGUAUGAGUUGCACACCAUUAUAGAUGAGGUGUACAUGCUGAUGGUGUUUGAAGAGACAGCCACCUUCAACAGCGUCCUUAUUAUGGAGAGCUUGCCGGACCACCAGAGAACACAUGUGAUGUGGGGGAUCAGCAAGGGUCAACAAAAAACACUUGGCCUGAUGGUUCAUGCAGAAACUGGGGAAGCAAUAUAGAAAUGUAUUGAUCCCUUAAAUGAUUUUACUAUUAAAUGACCCAUAUCACAAU
rnacentral:lncRNA from 1 species